GUCCAGACUCCUACGGGAGGCAGCAGUGGGGAAUAUUGCACAAUGGGGGAAACCCUGAUGCAGCGACGCCGCGUGAGCGAUGAAGUAUUUCGGUAUGUAAAGCUCUCUCAGCAGGGAAGAAGAUGACGGUACCUGACUAAGAAGCCCCGGCUAACUACGUGCCAGCAGCCGCGGUAAUACGUAGGGGGCAAGCGUUAUCCGGAUUUACUGGGUGUAAAGGGAGCGUAGACGGCGAUGCAAGCCAGAUGUGAAAGCCCGGGGCUCAACCCCGGGACUGCAUUUGGAACUGUGUGGCUGGAGUGUCGGAGAGGCAGGCGGAAUUCCUAGUGUAGCGGUGAAAUGCGUAGAUAUUAGGAGGAACACCAGUGGCGAAGGCGGCCUGCUGGACGAUGACUGACGUUGAGGCUCGAAAGCGUGGGGAGCAAACAGGAUUAGAUACCCCAGUA
rnacentral:rRNA from 1 species